GAUGAACGCUAGCGGGAGGCUUAAUACAUGCAAGUCGAGCGGCAAGUUUUGAUAGCAAUAUUGGAACCUAGAGCGGCGCACGGGUGAGUAACGCGCACAUGACCUGCCCUAUACUGGGGGAUAGUCUUGGGAAACUGAGAAUAAUCCCGCAUGUGAUUAGAAUGCUGCAUGGCAAAUUAUUAAAGCUGAGGCGGUAUAGGAUGGGUGUGCGUCUGAUUAGCUAGUUGGUAGUGUAACGGACUACCAAGGCGAUGAUCAGUAGGGGGCGUGAGAGCGUGAUCCCCCAACGGGUACUGAGACACGGACCCGACUCCUACGGGAGGCAGCAGUAGGGAAUAUUGGUCAAUGGACGGAAGUCUGAACCAGCCAUUCCGCGUGCAGGAAGAAGGUCCUAUGGACUGUAAACUGCUUUUAGCAGAGAAGAAACGCCUUCAUUUAUGAGGGUCUGACGGUAUCUGCGGAAUAAGCACCGGCUAA
rnacentral:rRNA from 1 species